ACAAUCGGAAGUCUUUGGACGCAAGUUGCGCCCGAUGCCAUUAGGUUGAGGGCACGUCUGCCUGGGUGUCACAUAUCGAAGCCUCCUGCCAAUUUCCCUUUGAUUAUUGUGCAGGGUGGAUGUUGGCCUCCCGUGAGCUCUUUCGUCUCAUGGUUGGUUGAAAAUUGAGACCUUGGUAGGGUGUGCCAUGAUAGAUGGUGGUUGUGUGAUCCACGAGACCAAUCAUGUGCUGCUCUAUUAAAUAUGGCCUCUUUUACCCAUAUGCGUUUCUAAACGCUCGUGAUGAGACCUCAGGUCAGGCGGGGCUACCCGCUGAAUUUAAGCAUAUCAAUAAGCGGAGGAAAAGAAACUAACAAGGAUUCCCUUAGUAACGGCGAGCGAACCGGGAUAAGCCCACCAUGAGAAUCGGUCGCCCUCGGCGUUCGAAUUGUAGUCGAAAAAAACCGUCAAAGUUA
rnacentral:rRNA from 1 species